CUGGGAGAAGGGGUGUUGGCCAUGCCAGAGGUAGGCACAAAAUAAGACGAGACCAUCCUUCAGCUCACCCCCGGACCUCACAGAAACAAGUUGAAUGUUACGGGCUACAUCUUGCUUGUUUACUCCACACCAGUUGCUUGCAGGAGAGCAGGAUUUGGGCCCGGGGUAUUUAACAUGGCUCUUCCGGUCUCAUUAAUCACUAGAUGGUAGAAAGCGUGAGAUCUAAAUCCGUGACCGCUCCCUCCGGAGAUCCGGGGCUGAGGCGGCUAGGAUUUUAGCAGUACACUGAUUAUAUACCCGCGCUGCCUACUUAACCAAACUGCACCCGAGGGCUAAAUUAACCGACCUAAAUAAUUCAGUUAUCCCACACAGAAUGAAAGGCGAGAGCCCCUGCAUUGUUCUGGAAAUAUGCAAUUUAAUGCAGAUAGCACAGAACACCUUAGUCAAUUUCAAAUCCCGCCUCCUCGCUUUCACUUGCUCUACAGGAAAACCAGCCUGUGAGAAAACCCUUGUCUGUGUGACAUUGUUGCUUGCACGUUCGAGAAUUUCCAACCACAUCUUAACCAAGUGUUUGGAGAGGAGUCCCCGAGCGAUGCGUCCAUCCGUCUGAAGAAACGCCCACCGAUGACCCCUAGAGCCUCCGGAGGUGGUUGCUGGGGAUGUGUAGCCUGGGGAGCCUCAUUGGGUUUGUGGCCACAAGGGAGAAUCCCAGCAGGCGUAGACUCAAUCCUGAGCUUUCAACAGCUUGAGAACCUACACUGUGAGCCACUGCAACUUCUGCAGUUCAUCAGCAUGGGGCGAGAAGACAAGGAAGAACAGGUGUCCCUGGACUCCUGGAAGGGGAACUUUCUUCUUGGCUGGAUCCUGUUACAUAUAACUGAUUUGGGCAACAAUUUGAGAAUUCUGUGA
rnacentral:lncRNA from 1 species